AGCCAGCAUAGUGUAGUGGUCGGAGCAUUAAACUACAACUCUGAAGACCAGGGUUCGAAUCCCUGCUUGGCUA